GGCAAGGCCGGCGUGCCUAAUACAUGCAAGUCGAACGAGUUCUCGUUGAUGAUCGGUGCUUGCACCGAGAUUCAACAUGGAACGAGUGGCGGACGGGUGAGUAACACGUGGGUAACCUGCCCUUAAGUGGGGGAUAACAUUUGGAAACAGAUGCUAAUACCGCAUAGAUCCAAGAACCGCAUGGUUCUUGGCUGAAAGAUGGCGUAAGCUAUCGCUUUUGGAUGGACCCGCGGCGUAUUAGCUAGUUGGUGAGGUAAUGGCUCACCAAGGCGAUGAUACGUAGCCGAACUGAGAGGUUGAUCGGCCACAUUGGGACUGAGACACGGCCCAAACUCCUACGGGAGGCAGCAGUAGGGAAUCUUCCACAAUGGACGCAAGUCUGAUGGAGCAACGCCGCGUGAGUGAAGAAGGCUUUCGGGUCGUAAAACUCUGUUGUUGGAGAAGAAUGGUCGGCAGAGUAACUGUUGUCGGCGUGACGGUAUCCAACCAGAAAGCCACGGCUAACUACGUGCCAGCAGCCGCGGUAAUACGUAGGUGGCAAGCGUUAUCCGGAUUUAUUGGGCGUAAAGCGAGCGCAGGCGGUUUUUUAAGUCUGAUGUGAAAGCCCUCGGCUUAACCGAGGAAGCGCAUCGGAAACUGGGAAACUUGAGUGCAGAAGAGGACAGUGGAACUCCAUGUGUAGCGGUGAAAUGCGUAGAUAUAUGGAAGAACACCAGUGGCGAAGGCGGCUGUCUGGUCUGUAACUGACGCUGAGGCUCGAAAGCAUGGGUAGCGAACAGGAUUAGAUACCCUGGUAGUCCAUGCCGUAAACGAUGAAUGCUAGGUGUUGGAGGGUUUCCGCCCUUCAGUGCCGCAGCUAACGCAUUAAGCAUUCCGCCUGGGGAGUACGACCGCAAGGUUGAAACUCAAAGGAAUUGACGGGGGCCCGCACAAGCGGUGGAGCAUGUGGUUUAAUUCGAAGCAACGCGAAGAACCUUACCAGGUCUUGACAUCUUUUGAUCACCUGAGAGAUCAGGUUUCCCCUUCGGGGGCAAAAUGACAGGUGGUGCAUGGUUGUCGUCAGCUCGUGUCGUGAGAUGUUGGGUUAAGUCCCGCAACGAGCGCAACCCUUAUGACUAGUUGCCAGCAUUUAGUUGGGCACUCUAGUAAGACUGCCGGUGACAAACCGGAGGAAGGUGGGGAUGACGUCAAAUCAUCAUGCCCCUUAUGACCUGGGCUACACACGUGCUACAAUGGAUGGUACAACGAGUUGCGAGACCGCGAGGUCAAGCUAAUCUCUUAAAGCCAUUCUCAGUUCGGACUGUAGGCUGCAACUCGCCUACACGAAGUCGGAAUCGCUAGUAAUCGCGGAUCAGCACGCCGCGGUGAAUACGUUCCCGGGCCUUGUACACACCGCCCGUCACACCAUGAGAGUUUGUAACACCCGAAGCCGGUGGCGUAACCCUUUUAGGGAGCGAGCCGUCUAAGGUGGGA
rnacentral:rRNA from 1 species